ACACUAGCUAACAAAUGAGCCUAGUACGAUACUAACUUGCUAGGUAAUUUGCAAGUUACGUUUUCACUAUAAUGCAUAUAUAUUCAACACUUGACUUCACGUUCAAAGCAACACAUGGUUGGGAGUACAGUACUGUCUAUUGUACCAAAACAUACAUGAUGGAAGAACUCCACAGCCUGGAUCCACGGCGACAGGAGCUGCUGGAGGCUCGCUUCACAGGAAUGGGAGUGGCCAAGGUCAAUUUAGAAAUAGUAUAACUACAAAUACAGUGCCCUCCAGAAUUAUUGGCUCCCAAUGUAGAUAUGAACAAAAUGGGCUGUGAGAAAUGUCAUUGUUGUUUAUCAGCUUGAUCCUACACAAAAAAUCAUAUGAUUCUAACCUUUAAUUUUGUAAGAAUUUAUCAAAGAAAUGAAUACAGUCAAUAAAUAAUUAUUUUAUUCAAAAACAAGCGUGCCACGAUAAUUGGCACUCCUGCAAUUUAGUAUACCCUGACUUUGCUAAGCUAACAGCGCUGAGUUGUCUCCCAUAAUGUUUGAUGAGGUGGGAGAACACAUAGAAAAGGGAUUUCAGACCAUUCCUCCAUACAGAAAAUCGAAUCCUAAAGGUGUUUUGGCUGUGUGUCACCUCAUAUUUACACCCAAGUUGAACAGGAUGUCAUGAAUGAAACACUCAGACGUGCUUUAAAAUCAGGUUGUAUAUCAAUUAAAAUGUGUUAAGAUUUUUCUUUUAACAAUUUUCACUCAAUUAAAUGGCCAGAUUAAGCUAGCUUGAUUAAUCUGUCACUAAACAACAUCUACUCUGUUAACAGUUUGACUAAAAUAUGUGGUAGCUAAUUAGCUUGUUAAUUGUUUACAAAAUGUUACAAAUUCAUGAGUAUACUAAUAAUAUGUAACACCAUUUUUGAUCCUGGGUAGUAAGAGUUAUUUUGUAAAUGCCUAAAACUUAUAGAAAAUUGAUUUUAUUCCCCAGAAACUUUACUGUUGUGACAAUGACAGUGAUAUUUUGAAAUGGACCUAUUUCCAAUGAAAGAACGUGCAAAUUGGUUUCUUCGUUCACAAAGUCAGAAAAAACAACAUAUGAAUCCAAAUGAACAUGUAUUCAUAUUAAAGUAAUACAAAAGA